GAUGAACGCUGGCGGCGUGCCUAAUACAUGCAAGUCGAGCGAACAGAUGAGGAGCUUGCUCCUCUGACGUUAGCGGCGGACGGGUGAGUAACACGUGGAUAACCUACCUAUAAGACUGGGAUAACUUCGGGAAACCGGAGCUAAUACCGGAUAAUAUAUUGAACCGCAUGGUUCAAUAGUGAAAGACGGUUUUGCUGUCACUUAUAGAUGGAUCCGCGCCGCAUUAGCUAGUUGGUAAGGUCACGGCUUACCAAGGCAACGAUGCGUAGCCGACCUGAGAGGGUGAUCGGCCACACUGGAACUGAGACAGGGUCCAGGCUCCUACGGGAGGCAGCAGUAGGGAAUCGUCCGCAAUGGGCGAAAGCCUGACGGAGCAACGCCGCGUGAGUGAUGAAGGUCUUCGGAUCGUAGAACUCUGUUAUUAGGGAAGAACAAAUGUGGAAGGAACUGUGCACGUCUUGACGGUACCUAAACAGAAAGCCACGGCUAACUACGUG
rnacentral:rRNA from 1 species